GCGGGUCCUGCAGACUGGGCGCGCCGCUGCAAUGCGGGAUGCGAGCGGGCCCUGCCCCAGACGAACGGUUGUGGGAGCUUGGGGCGAUUGGUGCAAUCUGGGCGAACCCGGGGACUUGCGAGGUACCCGGUUUUCAAGGUGAAGCAUCCUAAAAUGCAGAAACGUGUGGUCCGGAUAGCCCAGCUGAUUCUAUUCUUGUGACCACACUUGAUGUAAAGAAGGGUGUUUGGCCAGGUGUGAUGGCGCACACCUUUAAUCCCAGAAUUUGGGAGGCAGAAGCAGGCAGAUGAGUCCGCAGCCAACCUGGUCUACAGAGCGAGUUCCAGGACAACCAGAGCUACACAGAGAAAUCCUAUCUGGGAAGUGUGGAUAGUGGUUACUGAUCUCUCUCUUUCUUUCUCUCUCUCUCAUUCUCUCAACAGGGUCUCACUAUGUUGUGCUAACUCUCCUGUAACUAGCCAUGUAGACCAGGCUGGCCUCAAAUUCACAGAUCUGCCUCCUCUGCUUCCCAGAUCGGGUUUUUCUGUGUAGCCCUAACUGGCUAACUGGCCUCGAACUCACAAGUACUGGGAUUAAAGGCAUACACUGCACCCAGCUCAAAGAAUGUGGAGCAAUGACAGCCAUGAUGA